rnacentral:rRNA from 1 species
CCACAUUGGGACUGAGACACGGCCCAGACUCCUACGGGAGGCAGCAGUGGGGAAUAUUGCACAAUGGGGGAAACCCUGAUGCAGCGACGCCGCGUGGAGGAAGAAGGUCUUCGGAUUGUAAACUCCUGUUGUUGGGGAAGAUAAUGACGGUACCCAACAAGGAAGUGACGGCUAACUACGUGCCAGCAGCCGCGGUAAAACGUAGGUCACAAGCGUUGUCCGGAAUUACUGGGUGUAAAGGGAGCGCAGGCGGGAAGACAAGUUGGAAGUGAAAUCUAUGGGCUCAACCCAUAAACUGCUUUCAAAACUGUUUUUCUUGAGUAGUGCAGAGGUAGGCGGAAUUCCCGGUGUAGCGGUGGAAUGCGUAGAUAUCGGGAGGAACACCAGUGGCGAAGGCGGCCUACUGGGCACCAACUGACGCUGAGGCUCGAAAGUGUGGGUAGCAAACAGGAUUAGAUACCCUGGUAGUCCACACCGUAAACGAUGAUUACUAGGUGUUGGAGGAUUGACCCCUUCAGUGCCGCAGUUAACACAAUAAGUAAUCCACCUGGGGAGUACGACCGCAAGGUUGAAACUCAAAGGAAUUGACGGGGGCCCGCACAAGCAGUGGAGUAUGUGGUUUAAUUCGACGCAACGCGAAGAACCUUACCAAGUCUUGACAUCCCUUGACAGGCAUAGAAAUAUGUUUUCUCUUCGGAGCAAGGAGACAGGUGGUGCAUGGUUGUCGUCAGCUCGUGUCGUGAGAUGUUGGGUUAAGUCC